rnacentral:rRNA from 1 species
AUUGAACGCUGGCGGCAGGCUUAACACAUGCAAGUCGAGCGGAGAUGAGGUGCUUGCACCUUAUCUUAGCGGCGGACGGGUGAGUAAUGCUUAGGAAUCUGCCUAUUAGUGGGGGACAACAUUCCGAAAGGAAUGCUAAUACCGCACACGUCCUACGGGAGAAAGCAGGGGAUCUUCGGACCUUGCGCUAAUAGAUGAGCCUAAGUCGGAUCAGCUAGUUGGUGGGGUAAAGGCCUACCAAGGCGACGAUCUGUAGCGGGUCUGAGAGGAUGAUCCGCCACACUGGGACUGAGACACGGCCGAGACUCCUACGGGAGGCAGCAGUGGGGAAUAUUGGACAAUGGGGGGAACCCUGAUCCAGCCAUGCCGCGUGUGUGAAGAAGGCCUUAUGGUUGUAAAGCACUUUAAGCGAGGAGGAGGCUACUGAGACUAAUACCCUUGGAUAGUGGACGUUACUCGCAGAAUAAGCACCGGCUAACUCUGUGCCAGCAGCCGCCGUAAAAC